rnacentral:rRNA from 1 species
GACGAACCGUGCGAACGUUAUUCGGAAUCACUGGGCUUGAAGGGCGCGUAGGCGGGUCGGCGAGUCAGGGGUGAAAUCCCACGGCCCAACCGUGGAAGUGCCUCUGAUACUGCCGGCCUCGAGGGGGGUAGGGGCGUGCGGAACUCAGGGUGGAGCGGUGAAAUGCGUAGAUAUCCUGAGGAACACCGGUGGCGAAAGCGGCGCGCUGGACCCCUUCUGACGCUGAGGCGCGAAAGCCAGGGGAGCAAACGGG